rnacentral:tRNA from 1 species
CACUAAGAAGCUAUAUUAGCACUAACCUUUUAAGUUAGGGAUUGAGAGCAUCCAACUCUCCUUGGUGG